rnacentral:rRNA from 1 species
GAUCCUGGCUCAGGAUGAACGCUGGCGGCGUGCUUAACACAUGCAAGUCGAACGAAGCACUUUACUACGAUUCCUUCGGGAUGACGGUUUAGUGACUGAGUGGCGGACGGGUGAGUAACGCGUGGGGAACCUGCCCCAUACCGGGGGAUAACAGCCGGAAACGGCUGCUAAUACCGCAUAAGCGCACAGUACCGCAUGGUACGGUGUGAAAAACUCCGGUGGUAUGGGAUGGACCCGCGUCUGAUUAGCCAGG